UGAAAAUUUUCAGGUGCUUUGGAGCUUUCAUCGGAGCUGGAGCUAUUUGCCAUUACAGUCAAAUCAUUGCACUUAGAGUGUUGGGUAACGUUGUCUUGCUGCUGUCAGUGUUCAGCAGUCGCGCGCAACUAUUAGGGCUGCAAGCUUUUUAGCCGCCACUUUUGAAAUUUCCAUGUAAAUUUAAAAAAUUCGUUAACAAUGUAAAAUAGUUGUACAUUUUAUUUGAUGCAGAGAUUUCGAUAACCAAAUAUAAUUAGUUCAACUAGUAUGUUGCAUAUGGUAACAAAACGCUAUCGACGGUGCCCCAAUAAAAACAAUUUCACUUUUCGAUUUGCCGCGCAUUUUACAAUUUUGGACAACCACUGCCUAUCGAUUUUGUUGAGGGCAAUUAAUUUAGUUAGCAUGUGCC